UACGAAGGGGGCUAGCGUUGUUCGGAAUUACUGGGCGUAAAGCGCACGUAGGCGGAUCUGUCAGUCAGGGGUGAAAUCCCGGGGCUCAACCUCGGAAUUGCCUUUGAUACUACAGAUCUAGAGUCCGGAAGAGGUGAGUGGAAUUCCUAGUGUAGAGGUGAAAUUCGUAGAUAUUAGGAAGAACACCAGUGGCGAAGGCGGCUCACUGGUCCGGCACUGACGCUGAGGUGCGAAAGCGUGGGGAGCAAAC
rnacentral:rRNA from 1 species